rnacentral:rRNA from 1 species
AUACGGAGGGUGCAAGCGUUACUCGGAAUCACUGGGCGUAAAGGAUGCGUAGGCUGGAUGUCAAGUUGGAAGUGAAAUCCUAUGGCUUAACCAUAGAACUGCUUCCAAAACUGGCAACAUAGAGUGAGGGAGAGGCGAAAGGAAUUAGUGGUGUAGGGGUAAAUCCGUAGAUAUCACUAGGAAUACCGAUUGCGAAGGCGUUUCGCUAGAACUCUACUGACGCUAAGGCAUGAAAGCGUGGGGAGCAAACAGGAUUAGAAACCCUUGUAGUCC